GAACUUUCCAGAGAUGGAUUGGUGCCUUCGGGAACUGUGAGACAGGUGCUGCAUGGCUGUCGUCAGCUCGUGUUGUGAAAUGUUGGGUUAAGUCCCGCAACGAGCGCAACCCUUAUCCUUUGUUGCCAGCGGUUAGGCCGGGAACUCAAAGGAGACUGCCAGUGAUAAACUGGAGGAAGGUGGGGAUGACGUCAAGUCAUCAUGGCCCUUACGACCAGGGCUACACACGUGCUACAAUGGCGCAUACAAAGAGAAGCGACCUCGCGAGAGCAAGCGGACCUCAUAAAGUGCGUCGUAGUCCGGAUUGGAGUCUGCAACUCGACUCCAUGAAGUCGGAAUCGCUAGUAAUCGUGGAUCAGAAUGCCACGGUGAAUACGUUCCCGGGCCUUGUACACACCGCCCGUCACACCAUGGGAGUGGGUUGCAAAAGAAGUAGGUAGCUUAACCUUCGGGAGGGCGCUUACCACUUUGUGAUUCAUGACUGGGGUGAAGUCGUAACAAGGUAACCGUAGGGGAACCUGCGGUUGGAUCACCUCCUUA
rnacentral:rRNA from 1 species